rnacentral:lncRNA from 1 species
GGAGUUUGUGAAAAUUUUUUGAGUCUUCGACGCUGAUCCUAUAAGUACUUCUGCUUUAGCUAUACUUUGUAGUUUAGAAAAAUAUUGUAAUUGUAAUAGGCCCAUUUCGAUCGAGCUUGUUAAAAUCCAAAAACCAGAAAUUAAAAAACAAAAAUAAACGAAAUAAAAUAAGGUCCAAUGUUCAUUUACAUUUAUUAGCCUAGCAAUAAAUCCCUUCAAGCCCAAUAGCAAAAUAUAGCCCAAAACAGAAAUGAAACACUAGUCCAAAGCCAAUUUACAAAUGGCCCAAAAGGGCCCAAGAGUUCGGAAAUACCAAAAACCCUAGAGGUUUCUGGAAUCUGCUAGUGCCACAAGCCAGCCACUCCCACGAGUGGUUUCCCGCGCCCACGCCCACGAAUGCUCCUUUCGAAUGGCCAUCUCCAAUGGAACCUACGAGAAGAGCAACGGAAAUAAUAAUAGAAAAAUAGGCCAGUAAAUGACAGCAAGAAAAUACAAUUUUUAUUUUGUUUAUGAUGUAAAUCGGCUAUAAAAAGCCAGAAAAAUGAUGUAAACGGGAAUCAUUUUUUUCCACAGAAAUACACACGAAUACUGAAAAAAAUCAAUUUGAAAUUAGUUUUAAGGUGAUUUUAGAUCGCGUUCUUCCUUAAUUGUCGUUUCUAUUUCAUCAUUCUUUAUCUAUUGCAUGAAAAAAUAAAUCUAUAAGGGGAAAAGGAGACUUAUCUGUUGUUGAAGGAGCCUUUGAAUCCUUGUUUGCUUCGUUAAAAUCGAAGCUUUGAUGAGGAUUAAGGGAUCUGAUUUGAUGAUAUGGAGGCGAAGGGGUGGUUGAGUGAUGCCUCUGGUUUAGCCGAAUGAAUAAGGAUAGGUUUUGGUUAUUUCCAUUCUUUUGAUUUUGUUAAAGUAACUGAGUGUUUGACUUUAGGUUCUUUUUAGCUUGAUUUUGUGUUGAAUUUGAAACGGUGCUGUAUGGAUCCACACUUUUGCACUUCGAAUGGUCAAAUUGCGCAAUUAAUCUUUCGCCUUUGCGCAGACUUUUAAUUGAUCUGUAUUUACAUUUUAUUUUAUUUCAAACUUUUCCUAAAAUUUGCGUGUCUUUGCAAUUCAGUCCGCUCCUAAACACAGUGUUUCAGGACCUGGAAUAUUCUCAGUUUUGAUCCCUGAAUAUUCAUGUAUAUUGCGCUUUAGUCAUUAUUUCUAUUUCAAUAGUCUUUUAUUUAUAAAUUACCCCUUCUAUUUUAAUUCUGUUUUAAUUGAGUUUUCUAUUUGUAUAAUUCAUUAUUUUAAAAUUCAUUUAAUAUUUUUAUACAUGUGUUGAGUUUUUUUAAUAAUUUUGCUUUGUUUUUAUUUGUGUAAUUAUUUUGAAGUUCUUUUUUUAUAUAUAUCAUAUUAUUUUGACAUUUUGUAUAAUAUUUGGUUUAAAUCUUUUUAUAUAUUUGUACAUAUAUACUAUUUUGAUUGAAUUUUUUUAUUUUUUAUAAUUCAUUAUUAUUUUAAAAAUCCACUUAACGUACAUUUUUAAUUCUUGAUUAUUUAUUUUUUAUAUUUCUAGCUACUUUAAUAAUUUUACUUUGUUUUUUUUUAAAUUAUUAUUGUAAAGUUUGUUUAUAUCAUAUUAUUUCAAUAUUCUAUAUAAUAUUUUGUAUAAAUGUUCUUAUAUAUUAUUAUAUAUAUGCUUCAUGAUAAAAUUAAUUUUAUUAUAAAUACAUUAUUAAUUUUAUGUUAUUUUAUACAUAUAAUUUCUUUUAAAUCUAUUCACAUAUUUUAUAUAUAUCUUUGUUAUUUAAAAGAAAAUCCUACAUAUCUAAUGUACUAUUUAUUGGUACAUAUAUUAGAUUUAUAUACAUCAUUAAAUCCGUAUUAUUUUAUAUGUAUAAUUUCUUUUGAAUCCAUUUGUGUACAUAAUUAUGUAUUUUUUUAAAUCUAUUGCAUAUACAAUUUAUGAUAAAAUUAACUUAACUUUAUAUACAUUAUAAAUUCCGUGCUAUUUUCACCAACAAUUGCUUCCAAAUUUAUUUAUAUAUAUACAUAUACGUUUUGUAAGUCUAUUAUGUGUAAUUUAUUUCCCAAGAUUGUAUUUUAUUAUGUAUUUUUGCUAUCCUUUCAUAUUUGUAUAUUAUUUAAAUUCUCCUUUAUUAUAUGUAUUUUAAUAAAUAUUUUUAGCAGUUUGUACAUUAUUUUUUUUAUAUUGUAUAUUGAUUGUUCUUCAUGCAUGCUUGGAAAGUUGAUUUCAUUUUGCUUAGAUUAGUCACACUCAAUUGUUUAGUUGGUUUACCAAGUUUGGCACUUUAUGUGUGCUUAUUGUUUCAUGAUUAUUAAUCUCUUUUUUAUACAAAUGUUGCUUUGUAAUUUUUUUUAAAAAAUAAUUAAUUAUUCCAUCUCAUUUUAAAACAAAUAAAUGUGUUUUGAGGUAAUUUUCAAUUUUCUUUAUUAUUCAAGAUUCUAAAAUAAGGCAAUAUUCAAUAUUUGGAAAUUCGGAAAAUCGUACCCUAUCGUGCUGGGUAUGAUUUUUCGUCGGACUAAAUAUUUGGAAACCCUUUUAUAAUUUUUAGCGUAUGAGCUUUUGAAAAUCGAAAAUCAAUCUUAUUUUUGAAGGUAUAAGGGAUCGUGUCCAAUUGUGCUAGAUAUGAAGCUGCAUACCUUUAAAACGAGAGAAUUUUGAUGACCACUUUGAAUCGCUUAAGUGUUCUAAUAAGAGCCAUAUUUCAAAAAAAAAUUAAUCUUAGACAUAAUGACAGUAUUUAAUCAAUUUGGUACCAAUUUUGGGUGUAGUGAGGGUGCUAAUCCUUCCUCAUACGUAACCGAUUCCUGAACCCGUCUUUUUAAAAAUUUACGUAGGCCGAAAUUGAUUUAAAUGAAAUGUUUUAUUAGGUGAUCCAAUUACACCUAAACAAAAGGAUUGGUGGCGACUCCACUCGUUUUAAAGUCGAUUCCCGUUUUUUCCAAAAAUAAAAAAAUAGUUUCGACAACUUGACGACUCCACUGGGGAAUGAACAAGAGAGUCAAGCCAUAAAAUUGAUUAUUUAUUGUUCUCUUGUGUAAAUUGAAAAUCUAAUUUGAAAAUCAUGAUUCUUUGUUGCAUUUGUUUGCAUGAUUGUGGUGGUCCAAGUCUUGUAGAAUAAUAUGGCAUUGCAUUGCAUGACCGUUGUGGUCAUACUUUCUAAGUGGGAGUGAAAAACUACGCCUUCGUGAGGUUUUCACCUCCGUAUGGGAUAGUGGAUUACUUCCGGGAUACAUUCGUACCUAUGAUUUCAUGAAAUUUUCAUCUCCGCAUGGUCAUAGGGAAAUUAUUCCCCUGAAUUGAACUUGAUCCAUAUGAGCCUAUAAUGGGUGAGGAUUGAGGAAUCUGCUGGUUCAAGUACCCUUUCUCUAGAACCGAUCCACAUAUAGUGAACCCUGAGAGCCCACCUUAGGUAGAACCUUGCCCAAAUUUAGUGGUCACCCGAAUAGAUACUUUAUUUGUUAUUUAUUUCUUCUGUACUAACAUGUUUUGUUUUUGUUUUGUUGAUGAUUGCAUUACAUUACAUCAUCAUAGAAAGGAGGUGUUGAUUCAUAUUUGAUUGCUAAAUAGAACAGUUUUUCAUAAGAAAAGGAAUUUCUUAAUAAAGUGGAUUAUAAUACAGUUGUCUGAAUAUGGUCCAAGUAAACACAACGGAAAAAGCUGAUGGUUCGCGAAGGAAAAUAAUACUCUAUUUGAGGAUUUAAGCCGAUCAAGGUUAUUCGAGAGCCGUCGCAUCCUGACUUUCUUAAAGGAGGUAAUAAAUAUCGCGAGGAUAAUAAGUCGCGGCCUGGAUCAAGUAAAAAGGAGCUAGUGAAGGCAUUUAUUGGAAGCUUGCGAGAUUUGACCUUCAUGAAGAAAAGGGAUCGGUGUCUUCGCCUGGAAUAUGGAAGCAAGGCCGUAUAUAAUCCGUUUUACGUAAAGGAAUUUGUUUUAUAGAAAAGUUGUUCUAAUGGAAUUGAGUUCAAAAUCAACACAUUUCUUUCUUUUGCAUUCAUCUCAUGCAUUUGCAUUGCAUUGCAUCAUUAUAUCAUUUGCAUUAGAUUUUCAUAAAAGGGUCCCUAAUUAGUUGAAAUCAUUUUAGUUAACCUGGGAACCAAUAAAAACUUACCACCCAAGCGUCAUUACAGUACCCGUGCUAAGACAAAAGAUAUGGACCAAAGAUUGGAAAGACUUGAACAACUUCAAAAAGAGAUGCAAGACCAGUUACAAAUGCAAAUGCAGGAGCAACUGGCAAAGAUCCGACAGGAUAUUAGAGACCAAGUGCUAGAGUCUCAAAGGAAUAUAAUGGAUCAGUUGUCCCAAUUGCUGACUAAGGGGCUAGGAAAAGGGAAAAGCUCCAUGAUCAAUGUUGAGAAGGAUAACGAAGAACCUCUCUACCCUUCGGGUUUCACUUCUACAAAUGUUUAAACAUGUCCACAAGGUGUACCUAUUAUUAGAGCCCAGCAAUAUCAGGACGGUACCUUUGCACCAGUGGAUUACCCGAUAGGCUCAAGCUCCAAUCUAGGGGGCAACCCAACCAAUCUUGAAGUUCCUGAUCUAGAUGAAAUGGAAAAAGCAAAGAGGGAAUUGCCAAGACAACUUGAGGUUCGGUAUAGGUGGUUGGAGAAAAAAUUGAAAGCAAUGGAGAAUGUUGACUUUUACUGUGGGAUUGACGCCAAGGAUUUAAGUUUGGUCCCCAAUCUAGUACUCCCACCAAAAUUUAAGAUUUUAGAGUUUGAAAAGUACAAUGGGACCAGUUGUCCUGAAGCUCACAUCACAAUGUUCUGUCGAAGGAUGACAGGGUAUGUUAACAACGACCAAUUAUUAAUUCAUUACUUCCAAGACAGUCUGGUCGGGCCAGCAGCUAAAUGGUACAAUCAUUUGAGUCGUGCUAAAAUCAAUUCAUGGAAGGACUUAGCACAAGCUUUUAUGAAGCAGUAUAGCCAUGUAACAGACAUGGCGCCCGAUAGAAUUACCCUGCAGAAUAUGGAAAAGAAGCAGAAUGAGAGCUUUAGGCAAUAUGCCCAAAGAUGGAGAGAGGUAGCAACACAAGUUCAACCGUCUCUUCUGGAAAAAGAGACUACAAUGCUUUUUAUCAAUACUCUAGAAGCCCCAUUCACUAAUCAUAUGUUGGGAAGCACUACUCUAAGCUUUUCAGAUAUAGUAAUGUCCGGUGAGAUGAUUGAAGAUGCGAUAAGAAAUGGGAAGAUAGAUAUGGGAGAAAGCGCCAAAAGGUUAACCCCAAGAAAUGAGGAAAAUGAAGUGAACAUCAUGAGCAUGCCUUCCAAAUUGGUUAACAUAGGCUAGCCAAGGGUUGUAACCACUAGUUAUCAAAGAGAAUUUGAAUGACAUAUCCAAAGAGAGGUCCAAGGAAUAAAAGUUUCCAAACACUUAUGUACUUGGGGGUGUUUUAAACAAUGGGACUGUGGAAAAGAUUCCUGUAUUUUUAGAGCUGAUCUAGAGUAAUAUUCAAAACACGCUUGAUGCCUUAAGCCUAGGGGUAAUAAGAAUCCUUUUGUGAAAUAGGCUUGUGUCCAAAAAAUUUUAUUUCAAUAAAAUGCAUUCUUUUUGAAUAAAUAUUCUUUCAUUUUUUAAAUAUUCUUUUUUUCUUUGGACUAUUUUCUUUGUAAAUAUGCUUUCAUUCUUCAUUCAUGAUCAUACCAUACAAAUAAUUAUCCUUAGAAUCAUUUAUUCUUUGGAAUUUGCCUUUGUAUCUAUAAUAGGUCCCCAGAUAUCAAUGACAUGAGCAACGCUGUAACUGACUCCCUUUUUGGGUGAGAUAUGUGUUUAAGCGGAUCUCAGGACUUUGAAGAUGACAGAGAUUGUGACUUAUUUCCUGAUUUGUUAAGGACGGUAGAACAAGAUGAAAAACAAAUCCUACUUUACGAAAGGUUAAUGGACAUUGAGAGCAAGAGGCAAAGAUCGAAGCCUGAGCCACCACAAGGACAAAAUGAAUCGUCAUUGAGUUACUUCAAGAAUUCAAAGAUGUUAUCGCAUAAUCAUGUCAAGAUAUACUUGAGAUACUAAGACUUGUGGACACCAAAAAAUGUCUAUACAGGUGUCAGAAGGACACAUGUUAAUGGUAGCCGCGUUAAUUAUGAGAUUUGGGUACUGUGGAUCUGCCAUGGAAAGGGAUUGCAUUAGUUAGGAUGUAUUUAGGGAGACAAGAUUCAUGUGCCUCAUUCAUUUCUUCACAAACUCUCUCUAUGUGGGGCAUGAAUGUUAUCAGGCCAUUCUCGUCUAAUAUACAUUGAUUCAUCUUUGUAAUCGUUGAUGACUUCACGAAGAGGGUGAAGGUCGCUUCAUAUGCCAAUAUUACAAGGUCGAUAGUCAUCAAAUCUAAAAAAAAAAUUACUGACAAGUAAUGUCAGAAAGGAUCACUUCUAAUACAACUGCACAAUGUCAAAAGUUUGCAGUCUGUUCAAAGAUCAGACAUUAUAUCACAGUAUAGCAAAGGCAUCCAAAAAGAAAAACAAAAGUACAAAAAUAGAAAAAAGAAAAGGAAAAGCAAACAAUAGAACAAAGGUCAUAGUGAAAAAUGACUGAGUCUUGUAAGGAUUUGCAUAAAGAAGUUAUCAUUUGCCUUUUAUGUUUAUCGAACGUGGGUCGGGACCUUUACCGGGGCAACACAUUGAUUUAUAGGACUGAAACAGUUUUUGAAGACGAGAUUCUUUGUCUCCGAGUCUUGUCAGAGUUGGAGUUGGAUAAGGCAGAAUGGAUCUAAGCUCAAUGUGAUUAGUUGAAUUCAAAGAAAGGAGAUUCUGUCGUGGUCCAAUGCACCAGAGAUGAAUGAUAUAAGAAAAUUCCAUGAGGGGAACUUGAUAUUGAAGAAGAUUCUUCCUAUACAAAAGGACUUCAAAGGAAGAAAUAUGCUAAACUAAGAGAGACCUUAUGUAAAGAAGGCCUGUUUUAGAGGAGCAUUGAUAUUGACCGAAAGGAUUUGCCCAGUUCGGGGAAUUCAAAAUGCAGUCAAAGAGUAUUCUACCUAAAAUGGGAAAGGCCAAGGUGAAAACCCGCAAAGGGCGCAUUGAGACCUUUUAAAAAAAAGAUCGAAAUAAAAAAUAAAAGUCAAAAACAAAAAAAAAGAGAAAAUUUGAAAAAAGAAAAUAAAAAAAAGAAGAAAGAAAAGGAGAGGCCAAGGCGAAAACCAGCAAAGGGCACUUUGAGACCAAAGCGGAUUUGAGUUGAAAACCCGAAAAGGGCGGCUCAAAUUUGGAUUAAAAUGGGCCAUACAAUAGUAUUGCUAUGCCUGAAUUAACAAUGAAAGAAGAAUGUUACGUCUUGGGGCAUUGACAAAGUACUCCGGAUCCCCUAAAACACAGAUUGAGCUCAGAAUGGUCCUUAAGAAGUUGGUACAGAGAAGCUCAAGCUGCGAUAUCUGGGGCACCUAGCUUUCCAUUUUUACCCAUUUUUUGUUUGUUAUCUUUGAUUACCUUAUUCUUUUCAGGUCACGUCCUAGUAGAUUUCUUUCUUGGUUGCAUUUGCUUGUUUGUUUCGAGCUAUGUUCUCAAUUAAUUCCUUUCUUGUCCAUGGUUAUGAUCUUUUUCAAGCAUUUUGCAUUGAAAUAACGAUUUUUGGACUAAUAAUACUUUCAUAAAAGGAGUUUUGCAUAUUACUUUGGGAAGUUUCUAAAUAUACAAGAGCUUAAAACAGGACUAUUGUUUAAAACCCACCAAGCUUAAAGGUGGGAAACAUUUAAGCCCAAAUUGAGAUUAUCUCCUUGGAUUUUUUGUCAAAGAUAUUGGUUGAGCGAAAAGAAAAUUACAUUGGUGUUAUAAUCCUGGCAAAGAGCGAGUAAUGGGGUUAUUCUCGAGAAAAGAAAAAUGGUAUUCUGUAUUCAUAUGGAUAUCAGGCAUAUACAUCUGUUCAUUACACCUACGGAAUGGUGUAAUAGAUCAAAGUGGUUGAAGAUGAUGCAAAUCCUAUACUGCUGAGUUACAGCAGGAUGGAUAGAAGGAAUCAAAUGAUUAUUCCCCUAAAGUCGCAGUAGGAGGUUCAAACUUUAUGUCUCAGAAGUUAUGGUGUAAGGGACUUUGAAAUUACAGCAGGGCAAGCUUGCUGAGUAGAAUUUGAUUGUUUCUUUGGGUUUUCUGUCAAGAAUAUCAGCCGAACAAGAUGGCAGCAUAACAAAUCAAUGAUAAUGCCCUGGUGAAGAACGAGCGAUAACACCUUAAGCAUUUUUUUAAAAAAAAAUCAUCAUUUAAAAAGAUCAUUCUCAUUUUUUCAUCUAUAUAUCAUUCAUAUCACAUUUAGUUAGGAGUAUUUGACUCAUUUCGAUCAUAGCAUCCUAAUUAUUUGACAUAAGCAUCUCAUCUAGUUAGGAGCAUUUGAUUCAUUUCGAUCAUAGCAUCCUAAUUGUUUGACAUAAGCAUCAUAUUUAGUUAGGAGCAUUUGACUCAUUUUGAUCAUAGCAUCCUAAUUAUUUGCAUAAUCAUAGACAUAUGAAAUCGAGUCUAUAGGACAUGUCCAAGAGGAUGAUGUAGUAACAUCGGUGAAGUCAAGUCUUAUCUCCCUGAGGUUGCAGUGGAACAGACUAAAGAUUGCAAGUCUUAUUUCCCUAAGUAGUAGUGGAACAGACUAAAGGCGACAAAUCUUAUCUCCAUGUACCGGCAAUGAAGCAGAUUUAUGUCACCAGUCUUAUCUCCCUGAAGUUGCAGUGGAGCAGGCUCAAUAUAUAAGUCUUAUCUCCUUGAUGUUGUAGUAGAGCAGAUUAAAGAUUGAAGAUCUUAUCUCCCUCAGCAGUAACGGAGCAGAUUGAGGAUGGCGAAUCUUAUCUCCAUGCACAGGCAAUGGAGAAAAUUUUAGCCACUGACCUUAUCUCUCUAAGGUAGCAAGAGAGCAGGUUGAAGAUGAUAGUCUUAUCUUCCUGAGGUUGCAAGGAAGCAGACUGAAGAUUGAAGAUCUUAUCUCCCUAAACAGUAGCGGAGCAGAUCGAAGAUGGCGAAUCUUCUCUCCACGCACAGGCAAUGGAGCAGAUUUUAGCCACUGGCCUUAUCUCUCUGAGGUAACAAGAGAGUAGGUUGAAGAUGGUAGUCUUAUCUUACUAAGAUAGCAAGGAAACAGACUGAAGAUUGAAGAUUGGAAGAGGCAAAUCUCAUCUCUAUGUAUCGGCAAUGGAGCAGAUUUAAGCCUCAAGCCUUAUCUCUCUGAGGUAGCAAGAGAGCAGGUUGAAGAUUGAGUCUUAUCUUUCUGAGGUAGUAAGAAAGGAGACGGAAGAUUGAAGAUCUUAUCUCCCUAAGCAGUAGCGGAGCAGAUCGAAGAUGGCAAAUCUUAUCUCCAUGUACAGGCAAUGGAGCAGAUUUUAGCCACUAGCCUUAUCUCUCUGAAGUAGCAAGAGAGUAGGUUGGCGAUUGUAGUCUUAUCUUCCUGAGGUAGCAAGGAAGUAGACUGAAAAUUGUAGAUCUUAUCUCCCUAAGUAAUAGUAGAGCAGAUCGAAGAUGGCGAAUCUUAUCUCCAUGUACAGGCAAUGAAGAAAAUUUUAGCCAUUGGUCUUAUCUCUCUGAGGUAGCAAGAGAGCAGGUUGAAGAUAGUAGUCUUAUCUUCCUGAGGUAACAAGGAAGCAGACUGAAGAUUGUAGAUUUUAUCUCCCUAAGCAGUAGCAGAGCAGAUCGAAGAUGGUGAAUCUUAUCUUCAUGUAUCGACAAUGGAGUAGAUUUUAGCCACUAGCCUUAUCUCUUUGAGGUAGCAAGAGAAUAGGUUGGCGAUUGUAGCCUUAUCUUCCUGAGGUAGCAAGGAAACAGAUUAAAGAUUGAAAAUCUUAUCUCCCUAAGCAGUUGUGGAGCAGAUCGAGGAUGGCGAAUUUUAUCUCCAUGUAUCGGGAAUGGAGUAGAUUUAAGCCACCAGUCCUAUUUCCCUAAAGUUACAGUCAAGAUUCAGCAAAAUCGGGAAAAAUUGGUCCUAUUUGAAGUCUUUGCUCUAUUUUCGUUACACGACAAUAAACAAAGAGGGACAGCUGUAAUAGGCCUAUUUCGGUCGGGCCCGUUAAAAUCCAAAAACCAAAAAUUAAAAACAAAAAUAAAUGAAAUAAAAAUAAAAUAAGGUCCAAUAUUCAUUUACAUUUAUUAGCCCAGCAAUAAAUCCCUUCAAGCCCAAUAGCAAAAUAUAGCCCAAAACAGAAAUGAAACACUAGUCCAAAGCCAUUUUACAAAUGGCCUAAAAGGGCCCAAGAGUUCGGAAAUACUAGAAAUCCUAGAGGUUUCUGGAAUCUGCUAGUGCCACAAGCCAGCCAUUCCCACGAGUGGUUUCCCACGCCCACGCUCAUAAAUGCUCCUUUCGAAUGGCCAUCUCCAAUGGAACCUGCGAGAAGAGCAAUGGAAAUAAUAAUAGAAAAAUAGGCCAGUAAAUGACAGCAAGAAAAUAAAUCUAUAUUUAUUUAUGAUGUAAAUCGGCUAUAAAAAGCCAGAAAAAUGAUGUAAAUGGGAAUCAUUUUUUUUCCACAGAAAUACACACAGAUACUGAAAAAAAUCAAUUUGAAAUUAGUUUUAAGGUGCUUUUAGAUCGUGUUCUUCCAUGAUUUUCGUUUCUAUUUCAUCAUUCUUUAUCUAUUGCAUGAAAAAAUAAAUCUAUAAGGGGAAAAGGAGACUUAUCUAUUGUUGAAGGAGCCUUUAAAUCCUUGUUUACUUCGUUGAAAUCGAAGCUUUGAUGAGGAUUAGGGGAUCUGAUUUGAUGAUAUGGAGGCGAAGGGGUGGUUGAGCGAUGCCUCUGGUUUAGCCGAAUGAAUAAGGAUAGGUUUUGGUUAUUUCCUUUCUUUUGAUUUUGUUAAAGUAACUGAGUGUUUGACUUUAGGUUCUUUUUAGCUUGAUUUUGUGUUGAAUUUGAAACGGUGCUGUAUAGAUCCACACUUUUACACUUCGAAUGGUCAAAUUGCGUGACUGAUCCUUCUCCUUUGCGCAGACUUUUAAUUGAUCUGUAUUUACAUUUUAUUCUAUUUCAAAAUUUUCCUAGAAUUUGCGUGUCUUUGCAAUUCAGUCCACACCUAAACACAGUGCUUCAGGACUUGGAAUAUUUUCAGUUUUGAUCCCUGAAUAUUCGUUUAUAUUGCGCUUUAGUCAUUAUUUCUAUUUCAAUAGUUUUUUAUUUAUAAAUUAUCGCUUCUAUUUUAAUUCUAUUUUAAUUGAGUUUUCUAUUUGUAUAAUUCAUUAUUUUAAAAUUCAUUUAAUAUUUUUAUACAUGUGUUGUGCUUUUUUUAAUAAUUUUGCUUUGUUUUUAUUUGUGUAAUUAUUUUGAAG